rnacentral:rRNA from 1 species
UACGUAGGGUGCUAGCGUUGUUCGGAAUCAUUGGGCGUAAAGCGCGUGUAGGCGGUUAGUUAAGUCGAUUGUGAAAUCCCUGGGCUUAACCGAGGAAGUGCAUUCGAAACUAACUAGCUAGAAGACGGUAGAGGAAGGUGGAAUUCCAGUGUAGAGGUGAAAUUCGUAGAUAUUAGGAGGAAUACCGGUGGCGAAGGCGGCCUUCUGGGCCGAUCUUGACGCUGAGACGCGAAAGCGUGGGGAGCAAACAGG